GACGAACGCUGGCGGCGUGCCUAAUACAUGCAAGUAGAACGCUGAAGGAGGAGCUUGCUUCUCUGGAUGAGUUGCGAACGGGUGAGUAACGCGUAGGUAACCUGCCUGGUAGCGGGGGAUAACUAUUGGAAACGAUAGCUAAUACCGCAUAAGAGUAGAUGUUGCAUGACAUUUGCUUAAAAGGUGCAAUUGCAUCACUACCAGAUGGACCUGCGUUGUAUUAGCUAGUUGGUGGGGUAACGGCUCACCAAGGCGACGAUACAUAGCCGACCUGAGAGGGUGAUCGGCCACACUGGGACUGAGACACGGCCCAGACUCCUACGGAAGGCAGCAGUAGGGAAUCUUCGGCAAUGGACGGAAGUCUGACCGAGCAACGCCGCGUGAGUGAAGAAGGUUUUCGGAUCGUAAAGCUCUGUUGUAAGAGAAGAACGAGUGUGAGAGUGGAAAGUUCACACUGUGACGGUAUCUUACCAGAAAGGGACGGCUAACUACGUGCCAGCAGCCGCGGUAAUACGUAGGUCCCGAGCGUUGUCCGGAUUUAUUGGGCGUAAAGCGAGCGCAGGCGGUUAGAUAAGUCUGAAGUUAAAGGCUGUGGCUUAACCAUAGUACGCUUUGGAAACUGUUUAACUUGAGUGCAAGAGGGGAGAGUGGAAUUCCAUGUGUAGCGGUGAAAUGCGUAGAUAUAUGGAGGAACACCGGUGGCGAAAGCGGCUCUCUGGCUUGUAACUGACGCUGAGGCUCGAAAGCGUGGGGAGCAAGCAGGAUUAGAUACCCUGGUAGUCCACGCCGUAAACGAUGAGUGCUAGGUGUUAGACCCUUUCCGGGGUUUAGUGCCGUAGCUAACGCAUUAAGCACUCCGCCUGGGGAGUACGACCGCAAGGUUGAAACUCAAAGGAAUUGACGGGGGCCCACACAAGCGGUGGAGCAUGUGGUUUAAUUCGAAGCAACGCGAAGAACCUUACCAGGUCUUGACAUCCCUCUGACCACUCUAGAGAUAGAGUUUUCCUUCGGGACAGAGGUGACAGGUGGUGCAUGGUUGUCGUCAGCUCGUGUCGUGAGAUGUUGGGUUAAGUCCCGCAACGAGCGCAACCCCUAUUGUUAGUUGCCAUCAUUCAGUUGGGCACUCUAGCGAGACUGCCGGUAAUAAACCGGAGGAAGGUGGGGAUGACGUCAAAUCAUCAUGCCCCUUAUGACCUGGGCUACACACGUGCUACAAUGGCUGGUACAACGAGUCGCAAGCCGGUGACGGCAAGCUAAUCUCUUAAAGCCAGUCUCAGUUCGGAUUGUAGGCUGCAACUCGCCUACAUGAAGUCGGAAUCGCUAGUAAUCGCGGAUCAGCACGCCGCGGUGAAUACGUUCCCGGGCCU
rnacentral:rRNA from 1 species